AGAGUUUGAUCAUGGCUCAGAUUGAACGCUGGCGGCAUACUUAACACAUGCAAGUCGAACGGUAACAGGCAGGAGCUUGCUUCUGCGCUGACGAGUGGCGGACGGGUGAGUAAUACGUAGGAAUCUACCCUAGAGUGGGGGAUAACCCGGGGAAACCCGGGCUAAUACCGCAUACAUUCUAAGGAACAAAGAGGGCCUCUACUUGUAAGCUCUUGCUUUAGGAGGAGCCUACGUCGGAUUAGCUUGUUGGUGAGGUAAGAGCUCACCAAGGCGACGAUCCGUAACUGGUCUGAGAAGAUGAACAGUCACACUGGAACUGAGACACGGUCCAGACUCCUACGGGAGGCAGCAGUGGGGAAUAUUGGACAAUGGGCGCAAGCCUGAUCCAGCAAUGCCGCGUGUGUGAAGAAGGCCUUCGGGUUGUAAAGCACUUUAGUUAAGGAAGAAACGGUUUUGGUUAAUACCCAAGACAAUUGACAUUACUCAAAGAAUAAGCACCGGCUAACUCUGUGCCAGCAGCCGCGGUAAGACAGAGGGUGCAAGCGUUAAUCGGAAUUACUGGGCGUAAAGCGCUCGUAGUGGUCGGCUAAGUCGGAUGUGAAAUCUCCGGGCUUAACCUGGAACGGUCAUUCGAGACUGGUCGACUAGAGUUGAGUAGAGGAUAGUGGAAUUCCGGUGUAGCGGUGAAUGCGUAGAUAUCGGAAGGAACACCAGUGGCGAAGGCGACUAUCUGGACUCAACUGACACUGARGAGSGGAAAGCGUGGGGAGCAAACAGGAUUAGAUACCCUGGUAGUCACGCCGUAACGAUGAGAACUAGCCGUUGGGAGGCAUGACCCUUAGUGGCGCAGCUAACGCGAUAAGUUCUCCGCCUGGGGAGUACGGCCGCAAGGUUAAAACUCAAAGAAAUUGACGGGGGCCCGCACAAGCGGUGGAGCAUGUGGUUUAAUUCGAUGCAACGCGAAGAACCUUACCUACCCUUGACAUCCUUGGAAUUGCUUAGAGAUAAGCGAGUGCCUUCGGGAGCCAAGUGACAGGUGCUGCAUGGCUGUCGUCAGCUCGUGUCGUGAGAUGUUGGGUUAAGUCCCGUAACGAGCGCAACCCUUAUCCUUAGUUGCCAGCGGUUCGGCCGGGGACUCUAAGGAGACUGCCGGUGAUAAACCGGAGGAAGGUGGGGACGAUGUCAAGUCAUCAUGGCCCUUAUGGGUAGGGCUACACACGUGCUACAAUGGGCGGUACAAAGGGUUGCGAAAGCGCAAGCUGGAGCCAAUCUCAAAAAACCGUUCGUAGUCCGGAUUGGAGUCUGCAACUCGACUCCAUGAAGUCGGAAUCGCUAGUAAUCGCGAAUCAGAAUGUCGCGGUGAAUACGUUCUCGGGCCUUGUACACACCGCCCGUCACACCAUGGGAGUGGGCUGUACCAGAAGUGGAUAGACUAACCUUCGGGGGGUCGUUCACCACGGUAUGGUUCAUGACUGGGGUGAAGUCGUAACAAGGUAACCGUA
rnacentral:rRNA from 1 species